rnacentral:rRNA from 1 species
ACUCCUACGGGAGGCAGCAGUGGGGAAUCUUAGACAAUGGGCGCAAGCCUGAUCUAGCCAUGCCGCGUGAGUGAUGAAGGUCUUAGGAUCGUAAAGCUCUUUCGCCAGGGAUGAUAAUGACAGUACCUGGUAAAGAAACCCCGGCUAACUCCGUGCCAGCAGCCGCGGUAAUACGGAGGGGUUAGCGUUGUUCGGAAUUACUGGGCGUAAAGCGCGCGUAGGCGGAUCAGAAAGUAGGGGUGAAUCCCGGGGCUCAACCCGGAACUGCCUCCUAAACUCCUGGUCUUGAGUUCGAGAGAGGUGAGUGGAACUCCGAGUGUAGAGGUGAAAUUCGUAGAUAUUCGGAAGAACACCAGUGGCGAAGGCGGCUCACUGGCUCGAUACUGACGCUGAGGUGCGAAAGUGUGGGAGCAAACAGGAUUAGAUACCCGUGGUAGGAUAGCG